GACGAACGCUGGCGGCGUGCUUAACACAUGCAAGUCGAACGGAAAGGCCCUGCUUUUGUGUGGUGCUCGAGUGGCGAACGGGUGAGUAACACGUGAGUAACCUGCCCUUGACUUUGGGAUAACUUCAGGAAACUGGGGCUAAUACCGGAUAGGAGCUCCUGCUGCAUGGUGGGGGUUGGAAAGUUUCGGCGGUUGGGGAUGGACUCGCGGCUUAUCAGCUUGUUGGUGGGGUAGUGGCUUACCAAGGCUUUGACGGGUAGCCGGCCUGAGAGGGUGACCGGCCACAUUGGGACUGAGAUACGGCCCAGACUCCUACGGGAGGCAGCAGUGGGGAAUAUUGCACAAUGGGCGGAAGCCUGAUGAAGAAACGCCGCGUGCGGGAUGAAGGCCUUCGGGUUGUAAACCGCUUUCGCCUGUGACGAAGCGUGAGUGACGGUAAUGGGUAAAGAAGCACCGGCUAACUACGUG
rnacentral:rRNA from 1 species